AGAGUUUGAUCCUGGCUCAGGAUGAACGCUGGCGGCGUGCUUAACACAUGCAAGUCGAACGAGCCUUCGGGCUAGUGGCGGACGGGUGAGUAACGCGUGGGAAUCUGCCCUCAGGAGGGGGAUAACGGCCGGAAACGGCCGCUAAUACCCCAUAUGCCGAGAGGUGAAACGAAUUUCGCCUGAGGAUGAGCCCGCGUCUGAUUAGCUAGUUGGUGAGGUAAUGGCUCACCAAGGCAUCGAUCAGUAGCUGGUCUGAGAGGAUGAUCAGCCACACUGGGACUGAGACACGGCCCAGACUCCUACGGGAGGCAGCAGUGGGGAAUUUUCCGCAAUGGGCGCAAGCCUGACGGAGCAACGCCGCGUGAGGGACGAAGGCCUCUGGGCUGUAAACCUCUUUUCUCAAGGAAGAAGACAUGACGGUACUUGAGGAAUAAGCCACGGCUAAUUCCGUGCCAGCAGCCGCGGUAAUACGGGAGUGGCAAGCGUUAUCCGGAAUUAUUGGGCGUAAAGCGUCCGCAGGCGGCCUUGAAAGUCUGUUGUUAAAGCGUGGAGCUCAACUCCAUUUCAGCAAUGGAAACUACAAGGCUAGAGUGUGGUAGGGGCAGAGGGAAUUCCCGGUGUAGCGGUGAAAUGCGUAGAUAUCGGGAAGAACACCAGUGGCGAAGGCGCUCUGCUGGGCCAUAACUGACGCUCAUGGACGAAAGCCAGGGGAGCGAAAGGGAUUAGAUACCCCUGUAGUCCUGGCCGUAAACGAUGAACACUAGGUGUCGGGAGAAUUAACCCUUUUCGGUGUCGUAGCCAACGCGUUAAGUGUUCCGCCUGGGGAGUACGCACGCAAGUGUGAAACUCAAAGGAAUUGACGGGGGCCCGCACAAGCGGUGGAGUAUGUGGUUUAAUUCGAUGCAACGCGAAGAACCUUACCAGGGUUUGACAUCCUGCGAAUCCUUUGGAAACUUAGGAGUGCCUUCGGGAGCGCAGUGACAGGUGGUGCAUGGCUGUCGUCAGCUCGUGUCGUGAGAUGUUGGGUUAAGUCCCGCAACGAGCGCAACCCACGUCUUUAGUUGCCAGCAUUUAGUUGGGCACUCUAGAGAGACCGCCGGUGAUAAACCGGAGGAAGGUGUGGAUGACGUCAAGUCAUCAUGCCCCUUACAUCCUGGGCUACACACGUACUACAAUGCUACGGACAAAGGGCAGCAAACUCGCGAGAGCUAGCAAAUCCCAUAAACCGUGGCUCAGUUCAGAUCGUAGGCUGCAACUCGCCUACGUGAAGGAGGAAUCGCUAGUAAUCGCAGGUCAGCAUACUGCGGUGAAUACGUUCCCGGGCCUUGUACACACCGCCCGUCACACCAUGGAAGUUGGCCAUGCCCGAAGUCGUUACUCCAACCCGCAAGGGAGGAGGACGCCGAAGGUGGGGCUGAUGACUGGGGUGAAGUCGUAACAAGGUA
rnacentral:rRNA from 1 species